GAUAUGUUGUAGAGCUGCCCUAAUCUUAUUGAAAUUGGCUUUUUUAAAAUUAUAUGUUUUAGUAUACCCCACUUGCUUUUGCUUUUUUGAGUUUAUUUAAAAAUUUACCAUAUUGUGAUCACUAUUUCCCAAAUGCUCCCCUACUUGAAUGUUGGUUAAAAGAUCAACAUUGUUUGUUAUGACAAGAUCCAGACAAGCAUCCUUUCUAGUUGGUGCUUGUACCAGUUGUGACAUAAAG